UACGUAGGGGGCGAGCGUUGUCCGGAUUUAUUGGGCGUAAAGAGCUCGUAGGCGGUUGGGUAAGUCGGGUGUGAAAACUCAGGGCUCAACUCUGAGACGCCACUCGAUACUGCCCUGACUCGAGUCCGGUAGGGGAGCGUGGAAUUCCCGGUGUAGCGGUGAAAUGCGCAGAUAUCGGGAGGAACACCAGUGGCGAAGGCGGCGCUCUGGGCCGGAACUGACGCUGAGGAGCGAAAGCGUGAGUAGCAAACAGG
rnacentral:rRNA from 1 species